CCUACGGGGGGCAGCAGUAGGGAAUCUUCCACAAUGGGCGAAAGCCUGAUGGAGCAACGCCGCGUGGGUGAAGAAGGUCUUCGGAUCGUAAAACCCUGUUGUUAGAGAAGAAAGUGCGUGAGAGUAACUGUUCACGUUUCGACGGUAUCUAACCAGAAAGCCACGGCUAACUACGUGCCAGCAGCCGCGGUAAUACGUAGGUGGCAAGCGUUAUCCGGAUUUAUUGGGCGUAAAGGGAACGCAGGCGGUCUUUUAAGUCUGAUGUUAAAGCCUUCGGCUUAACCGGAGUAGUGCAUUGGAAACUGGGAAACUUGAGUGAAGAAGAGGAGAGUGGAACUCCAUGUGUAGCGGUGAAAUGCGUAGAUAUAUGGAAGAACACCAGUGGCGAAAGCGGCUCUCUGGUCUGUUACUGACGCUGAGGUUCGAAAGCGUGGGUAGCAAACAGGAUUAGAUACCCUAGUAGUC
rnacentral:rRNA from 1 species